UACGUAGGGUGCGAGCGUUGUCCGGAAUUAUUGGGCGUAAAGAGCUCGUAGGCGGUUUGUCGCGUCGACUGUGAAAACUCGAGGCUUAACCUCGAGAUGUCAUCGGAAACCAUUUGGCUAGAGUCCGGAAGAGGAGAGUGGAAUUCCUGGUGUAGCGGUGAAAUGCGCGGAUAUCAGGAAGAACACCAAUGGCGAAAGCAGCUCUCUGGGACGGUACUGACGCUGAGACGCGAAAGCGUGGGGAGCGAACAGG
rnacentral:rRNA from 1 species